GAUGAACGCUGGCGGCGUGCCUAAUACAUGCAAGUCGAGCGAACGGACGAGAAGCUUGCGUGUCGGAUGUUAGCGGCGGACGGGAGAGUAACACGUGGAUAACCUACCUAUAAGACUGGGAUAACUUCGGGAAACCGUAGCUAAUACGGGAGAAUAUUUUGAACCGCAUGGUUCAAAAGUGAAAGACGGUGGUGCGGGCACGUAUAGAUGGAUCCGCGCUGCAUUAGCUAGUUGGUAAGGUAAAGGCUUACCAAGGCAACGAUGCAUAGCCGACCGGUGAGGCUGAUCGGCGACACUGGAACUGAGACAGGGUCAAGACUACUACGAGAGGGCGCAGUCGGGAAUCUGACGCAGUGGGCGAAAGCAUUACGGAGCAACGCCGCGUGAGUGAUGAAGGUCUUCGGAUCGUAAAACUCUGUUAUUAGGGAAGAACAUAUGUGUAAGUAACUGUGCACAUCCUGACGGUACCUAAUCAGAAAGCCACGGCUAACUACGUG
rnacentral:rRNA from 1 species